GAGUGCCAGGUACUGUUCACAAGAACUAAAGCUCUGUAUAUUUUCAGUCGGUCGCUGGAUUCCUUGCGUGCGAGCGUGCUGGAGAUGAGGUUACAGAAGGGCUAGAAGCAUGCGAAUUACUAUUAAGAAAGUACUUGCCUAUAUUUGUUCAGUAUGUAUCGUAGAUUCUGUUAUUUUAUGCAUUUAUGUGUCUACAAAUCGUGACGCUCAAACGGGGGUCUUCCAUUCGGCUUCGCGUAACAUCGACCUUGUCGAUUUGAAUCAACAUGAUAGACCGUACUUUAUGAAUGAACCGCACUUUGAGCGACUUAUAAAGGAGUACAGAAGCCAGGAGGAAGAACCAAGGCGAGUUUUAUUUGCGGACGAUAGACCUAAUAUUAUUAGUGACGAACAAUUAAGCAAUAAUAGCCAAACAUAUCAGCAAAAUGCACCGUCGGAUAAAGUAAAUUUAGAUCCACGAUGGUUCGAAAACGCAAAACAAGGAAACGAAUCUGGGGUUAAAACGAAUUACAAAGGUGAUUUACAACCCCUUGGUAAUAAACGCACAGCAUUAAAAGCACAAUCCUUCUCUCAUGCUAAAGGAAUUAAUAAUACGCCUACAUUAGUAAGAACUAAUCAAAAUGUAGAUAAAACUGAAUUGAAACUUGUGGACAAUCAAGCCUCUAAGAACUCAGCGUUCGAAAUCGCAGACCUUGGAGGCAAAAUACCACUGGAAGAAAUGAGUGCCUCGGAAAACAAGAUCAUACUUAAGCAUAUACUUGCAGCGAAGGAACGUCAAAAUCAACCUGUUUAUGUGAAUUACGUAAAACUAAAAAACGAUGGGGUACAACCUGUUCAAGUUGAGCAGAAUUCCUUGGAAUUAAAGCGUGAAAAGCGGGAUGAUAUUGUUCCAAUAGAUGGAAAUUCCCUUUCCCAAUCACCUGCAGAAGUUGCCGCUAUGCAGAAUUUAGAUGAUGUCUUCCUCGCUGUGAAAACAACCAAGAAAUUUCAUCAUAGUCGACUUCAGGUCUUACUGGAUACAUGGGUGUCUAUUGUUCCAAAUCUGGUUUACUUUUUUACGGAUGCAGAUGAUGAAGAAUUCCAACAAAAAACCAAUGGCCACAUGAUAAAUACAAAGUGUCGAUCUUUACAUGUUAGAUCUGCACUCUGUUGCAAGAUGGCGGUCAUGUUUGAUCACUUCAUGGCGUCAAAUAAAAGCUGGUUUUGUCACGUUGAUGAUGACAACUACCUCAACAUUGUAGAAUUGGGGAAAUUACUUGAUUUGUAUCAGCCUCAUCAGCAAGAUAUUUAUCUGGGACGCUCAAGUACACUGAGGCCAAUUGAAGCAUACAAAACACAGACACCUUCGAUAAAGCACCAGUUUUGGUUUGGUACCGGAGGUGCAGGUGUUUGCGUAAGCCGAGCGCUGGCUAAAAAGAUGGUACCGUACACCAGAGAUUCUACUAAACGUACCAAUGAUACACAUCAAAAAAAUGAAUUCUCAUCUACAAGACCUAUGGGCUAUCAAACCGGACGACAUUAAGAACCAGAUUACUCUUAGCUACCGAACGGAUAGCACAAAUAAAAUGUUAUUACACAACCCUGCAUUUUCAAUCAAUGAUGAUCCAACAAGAUUCAAGUCAAUCCAUUGUAUCCUAUACCCACAGACUUCCUUCUGUCCUAAAGCCCAAG
rnacentral:misc_RNA from 1 species